rnacentral:rRNA from 1 species
AGAGUUUGAUCCUGGCUCAGAGCGAACGCUGGCGGCAGGCUUAACACAUGCAAGUCGAGCGGGCGUAGCAAUACGUCAGCGGCAGACGGGUGAGUAACGCGUGGGAACGUACCUUUUGGUUCGGAACAACACAGGGAAACUUGUGCUAAUACCGGAUAAGCCCUUACGGGGAAAGAUUUAUCGCCGAAAGAUCGGCCCGCGUCUGAUUAGCUAGUUGGUGAGGUAAUGGCUCACCAAGGCGACGAUCAGUAGCUGGUCUGAGAGGAUGAUCAGCCACACUGGGACUGAGACACGGCCCAGACUCCUACGGGAGGCAGCAGUGGGGAAUAUUGGACAAUGGGCGCAAGCCUGAUCCAGCCAUGCCGCGUGAGUGAUGAAGGCCCUAGGGUUGUAAACCCCUGUCGAACGGGACGAAAGACUCGGGAGCUAAUCAUCUCGAGAGUGACGGUACCGUUAAAGGAAGCCACGGCUAACUCUGUGCCAGCAGCGGCGGUAAUAC